GGCCUCGUCCUCGCCUUUCUCCCGUUCGCCAGCGGGGCUCCGCCGGCCCCGGGCAGCGCCCCCCGCCCCCCAGCCCGCCUCCCCCCGCUCCCGGAGCCGAGCCCCGAGGUCGACGGGACCUCCCCCCCCCCCCCGCCCGCAACCCCCGCCCCCCGGCCCGGCGGGAGCGGGAGCGGCCCAGAGCAGGCGGCCUGGGCCUGGGCCUGGGCCCGGUGCCGGUCCCGGGGAGCAGCCCUCCGCUCGCGGGACACGCCGUCGCGGACGAGCGGGAGCAGCAGGAGGAGGAGCAGCGGCGGGAGCAGCAGGAGGAAGGGGAGGCGGCCCAGCAGUAGCAGCAGCAGCAGCAGCAGCAGCAGCAGGACCAGCAGCAGCAGCAGGACCAGCAGCAGCAGCAGCAGCAGUCGUGCACUACUUUCCUCUCCGGUUGCAAAUGGCUGCCCGGGUCCCCACUUUGCGCUCAGUUUCCUGACCGCCCCCCCGGCGCCGGUUGCCGGGCCCGGGCCAUGCCCCUCUGAAGCCCCCCUGACACCGCAGCCGGCCGGGCCCAGCCCCAUCGGAGGCCGGCCCGGCCCGGGGCGGGGCGGGGACAGCUCCGCCGGCCCGGGAGGGGAAGGGCGGCCGGAGCGGGGCCCCGGAGCGGCCGGAGCGGCGCGGGCCCGGGGCUGCCCCCCGUUCCCACCCUUCUUCCUCUUGUGCGCCCGCCGCCUCCCCGGAGGAGGAGCCCCGGGAGCCGGAGGGGACGAGGCUCGGACGGCGCCGGCCCCCGAGGGCUGUGCUCGCUUUGGGCUCCCGCGGGCCCGGGAGGCUUCGGCUGCAUGCGAGCGGCGCGGCCGUAGGAGCCGGCGGCGGCGGCGGCGGCGGCGGGAGCAGACACUCGACCCACCCUACCGACCGAACGACCGACCGGCGGAGAGGCCGUCGUCCCGGCCGGACGGCUUGCGGGGGCCGGGAGAAGGGGCUCGGAAGGCCCGGCCGGGCCCGAGGCGGCCCAGCGGACUCGGGCGCCCGGGAAUCGGGGCGCCCGGCCGGGCCCGGGGCGGACCCCGGCAGGCCGGAGGGCGGCGCGGAUGCGGCGGCCCUCCGCCCGACAUCAAAGUCACCGGGGCUCCCUUUGUGUCCGCUCGGGAGCCGCCGCUCCACGGCUUUCCGCGCACCUCUGAGCCGCUGGACGUCGGAGCCGGCGGGGCCCGCUUCGGUGCCCCCUCCCUAGCUCCUUUUUUUUCUUUUUUUCCAUUCCCCCCCCCUUUUUUUUCCUUUUAA
rnacentral:lncRNA from 1 species